GGACGGGCUCCAGCAGCCGGACUUCUAUAGUGACCGACUGUCUCUGGUGCCUUCCGUACCUCCCCAGCCAUCAACCUUCAACAGCACCAGCCGACCUUCCACAGUGUCCUCCAGACUCCUCCAGCGGAUGACUUCCGUCUAUAGCAUUGACGCCUAAGGCACCCAACAGUAGUUAACCCAUCAGCAACCUCGAAAACAUCCGAGCUCCUCUUACAUUGCUGAGACAGAGAGCUAUUCCGUUCCAUCAGACAUCCCAACCGAGCUUCAGCCGUCCGGCCCGAACUCUCUGGCAAGUCACGACAACGGACACUACGCCAUUCUCUGUAACAGACUCCACAUGGCUCCACCACUCUUUGACAAGUCGCGAUAAUGGACACCACUCAACUCUCCGUAACAAACUCCACGUGGCCCUGAACGACCCACUACCAAGUAGUUACGGAUGUCGCUGUCAAUCGGUUAUGCUCUCCCAUCUAUAAAAGAGACCCCCUAGAUACAUUCUCCUUUAAGCUCAAAACUCUACCUUAAAACUCUACUAAAAUCUCAUUCGAGUGCUCCAUUUUUGUUGAAGCAGAGUACUGACUUGAGCAUCGGAGGAUCUUGCUGGAGCACCCCCAACUUUGGUUUAGACUUUCCUUGUAGGUCCUGACGGCAGCCGCGAUCCCUACGACUCCAACUUCUCCGACAUCGACAGAAUUCUGCACCGACAAAUAUAUUAAAUACAAAAUUAUACCCU
rnacentral:lncRNA from 1 species